UACGUAGGGGGCGAGCGUUGUCCGGAGUUACUGGGCGUAAAGCGCACGCAGGCGGUUUCGUACGUCUGGAGUGACAGUUCCCGGCUCAACUGGGGAAGGUCUUUGGAAACGGCGAGACUUGAGGGCUUCAGAGGGACACGGAAUUCCGGGUGGAGUGGUGAAAUGCGUAGAGAUCCGGAGGAACACCAAUGGCGAAGGCAGUGUCCUGGGAAGCAUCUG
rnacentral:rRNA from 1 species